rnacentral:RNase_P_RNA from 1 species
UGACGGUCGCGUACCUUCGGGUAUGAGGAAAGUCCGGGCUGCACAGGGCAAGGAUAACGGAUAACGUCCGCCGAGGGUGACCUCAGGAAUAGUGCAACAGAGAUAUACCGCUGUUUUAUGUUCGCAUAAAGCAGUAAGGGUGGAAAGGCGAGGUAAGAGCUCACCGCGCCCCAUGGUAACAUGGGGGGCCUGUAAACUCUAUCCGCAGCAACGCCGACCGGGACUAUGGUUUGCCCGACCGUCCCGACUGGCGGCUUGAGACGUAUGGUAACAUACGUUCGAGAUAGAUGACCGUCCACGACAGAACCCGGCUUACGCACCAG